GAAACAAGGGCUGUCGGAGAGGGUGCUGGAGCCAUGUUUUGCAGGGUCAGGACUCCAAGCAGCUGCGAGUAUCUACGGGGAGUUUAAAUUUCUUUUCAAGGAAGCUGUGACGAGAGGAUUUACCCAGGGGAGUGUGCUGGUCUCAUUUACAUGUGCUGAAGUGUUUUCUGUCUACUGCAUCGAGAGUGAAUUGGAGAGGGGCGGGCCCAGCCCGGCAGCAGACGGUGCAGCACUCCAGGGCUAGGCGGAGGGCGGCAGCGAGGCGGAAGGAAGUGCACGCAGUCAAGUCAGAUCACACACAUUUAUUUUGGCGGUAGACUUGACAGGUGGUGUUGAUGGCUUGGAUGAGGAAGACAAUGAGGAGGCAUGGACGUUACCUAGAUUUUUGGCUAAGUACCAUUUUGACAAUAUGCAUAUAUUCGCUGUAUUAUUAAACUUCCUUUUCAUUUUGACAUGAUCCUUCUCAAAACUGUAAACGUUCUAGUAUAUGUGCUGCCCAAGUGAACGUGAAAACCGCACAUUUUUUAGGUAUUUUAAAACUUUCCCAAUCUAGAUUUUUUUGCACUGCAGCCAAAUUGUACAGUCAUUUCAGAUUUCUUCUUGUUUUCUUGUUUAGUAAUGGGAACCGCCUUUGUUGAUAUUUUGGGUAUUUAAUUGGGAGCAUUUUACCUGUUAAUUAUGGCUGUUGAGGAUUUAAACUCACUUUAUUUACCACCAGUCUUUUGAAGUUAGAUUGCUGAGUAUCCUGCCUGCCCGGGGAGUGUCAGAGCCUGUGAAGCUGCAGCUGUUGAGAGGCAGCUUUCCGUCCUCUGCGAUUCCUGCUUCCGGCUUCUGUGGGCGAAGAAGGGGUGUGGGAUGGGAGGGGCACCUGGAGCUGCUGAGCCAGCUCCACCUGAGGCUCACUGUGUAACUUCAUUGUUCUUUUCAGCAUGGCCUUCAGGGGUAGGAAGUCAGGCUUAUGAGAUGUUAUCUCCUGUGGCUUAGGACUGGUAUACCUCCUCAAUUUAAUGUGUGCCCAGCAUUUCCUUCAGUGCUGGACAGGCUGCUGUGAAGGGACAUCACCUUUUCCCUUUUUCCAAGAUGGCUCAAGAUUCAGUAGAUCUUUCUUGUGAUUAUCAGUUUUGGAUGCAGAAGCUUUCUGUGUGGGAGCAGGCUUCCACUUUGGGAACCCAGCAAGACACCUGUGUUCACCUGGCUCGGUUCCAGGAGUUCCUGAGGAAGAUGUAUGAAGCCUUGAAAGAGAUGGAUUCUAAUACAAUUUUUGAAAGAUUCCCCACAAUUGAUCAACUGUUGGCAAAAGCUUGUUGGAAUCCUUUUAUUUUAGCAUACGAUGAAAGCCAAAAAAUUCUAAUAUGGUGCUUAUGUUGUCUAAUUAACAAAGAACCACAGAAUUCUAGACAAUCAAAACUUAACUCCUGGGUACAGGGUGUAUUAUCUCAUAUACUUUCAGCACUCAGAUUUGAUAAAGAAGUUGCUCUUUUCACUCAGGGUCUUGGAUAUGCCCCUAUAGAUUACUAUCCCGGUCUGCUUAAAAAUAUGGUUUUAUCAUUAGCGUCUGAACUCAGAGAGAAUCAUCUUAAUGGAUUUAACACUCAAAGGCGAAUGACUCCCGAGCGAUUGGCGUCCCUGUCACGUGUCUGUGUCCCACUUAUUACCCUGCCAGAUGUUGACCCCCUGGUGGAGGCUUUGCUCGUCUGUCACGGACAUGAACCUCAGGAAAUCCUCCAGCCAGAGUUCUUUGAGGCUAUAAACGAGGCCAUUUUGCUGAAGAAGAUUUCUCUCCCCAUGUCGGCUGUAGUCUGCCUCUGGCUUCGGCACCUUCCCAGCCUUGAAAAAGCAAUGCUGCAUCUUUUUGAAAAGCUAAUCUCCAGUGAGAGAAAUUGUCUGAGAAGGAUCGAAUGCUUUAUAAAAGAUUCAUUGCUGCCUCAAGCAGCCUGCCACCCUGCCAUAUUCCGGGUUGUCGAUGAGAUGUUCAGGUGUGCACUCCUGGAAACCGAUGGGGCCCCGGAAAUCAUAGCCACUAUUCAAGUGUUUACGCAGUGCUUCCUAGAAGCUCUGGAGAAAGAAAACAAGCAGCUGCGGUUUGCACUCAAGACCUACUUUCCUUACACUUCUCCAUCUCUUGCCAUGGUGCUGCUGCAAGACCCUCAAGAUGUCCCUCGGGGACGCUGGCUGCAGACACUGAAGCACAUUUCCGAACUGCUCAGAGAAGCAGUUGAAGACCAGACUCAUGGGUCCCGCGGAGGUCCCUUGGAGAGCUGGUUCCUGUUCAUUCACUUCGGAGGAUGGGCUGAGAUGGUGGCCGAGCAGCUCCUGAGGUCGGCAGCCGAACCCCCCGCAGCCCUGCUGUGGCUCUUGGCCUUUUACUACAGCCCCCAUGAUGGGAGGCAGCAGAGAGCACAGACCAUGGUCCAGGUGAAGGCUGUGCUGGGCCACCUCCUGGCGAUGUCCAGAAGCAGCAGCCUCUCAGCCCGGGACCUGCAGACAGCAGCAGGACAGGACACAGAAACAGACCCCAGAGCUCCUGCACAACAGCUCAUCAGGCACCUUCUCCUCAACUUCGUGCUCUGGGCUCCUGGAGGCCACACGAUCGCCCGGGAUGUCAUCACCCUGAUGGCUCACACUGCCGAGAUAACUCACGAGAUCAUUGGCUUUCUUGACCAGACCUUGUACAGAUGGGAUCGUCUCGGCAUUGAAAGCCCUAGAUCAGGAAAACUGGCCCGAGAGCUCCUUAAAGAGCUGCAAACUCAAGUCUAGAAGGCACGCAGGCCGUGUGGGUGCCCGGCGUGAGGGAUCAGGCUCGCCAGGGUCACUGGACAGAUGAUGACCUAUGGCCGCGCAUUUGUGGAGUAAGUAAGUGCCCUCUUUGGGCUGUGAGAAUGAGCCAUACACAUCUUGGGAAGAUCUGCUAGUAUCUAUUUUACAAAAUGCAGAGCCAGGUCCCUCAGCCCAGACUCAGUUGGACAUGUUCACCAAUGACUUGAGCGAGCCUUCAGCGCUCCUGGUGCCCGCCCGGCCAGACUGUCAGCUAGAGAAUUACUAAAGCAAAGGCUUGGGUGGGAGAACAGGUUUCUAGUUUUUACCCAAGUCUAGAUGCACAUCUAUUAUUUAAAGAUUCAAAGCCUUAGAACCAAGAAUUUGGUGAUGAACCAUUGAAGAAUUUAGAGAGGACUCAGCUCUUUUUAGACUGUCUUCAGGAGUCAGGGAUCUGGGAUACAGCCACGCUGUCGUGCUGUACGGAGAAAUCUCCACGGGGAGUCAGCGUCCCUCAGGCUUCCCUUGCAUCUCCCUGGACCUGCCCGAUAGACCACAGGAGCAGACAGCGUCUCCUGUGAUAGGCAGGAUAGACCCAAGCCUGCGUCUCCUGCACACGCUUUCCACUCUAUUUGCUAAACGCUGACUCUGCCACCAAAGAGCUCCUGGGACAUGAGGGGCCGGCAGGUGAAGGUGGAGGACGUGUUCCAGACACAUUCAAAGGCAGGAUUCGUAUCAGUUAGUUCUCUUGGUAAACAGAGAUGGGAAUUGGAAAUUCCUGAUAAAGAACUGACCUGGCUGGGCGCGGUGGCUCACACCUGUGAUCCCAGCACUCUGGGAGGCCGAGGCAGGGGGAUCACUCCAGCCCAGGAGCUCCAGACUGGCCUGGCCAACAUGGCGAAACUCCAUCUCUACUAAAAAUACAAAAAUUAUUGGGGUGCCGUGGUGGGCGCCUAUAAUCCCAGCUAUUCGGGAGGCUGAGGCAUGAGGAUCCCUUGAACCCGGGAGGCAGGAGUUGUAGUGAGCUGAGAUCAUGCCAUUGCACUCCAGCCUGGGCAACAGAGUGAGACCUGUCUUAAAAAAAAAAAAAAAGGCAUUGUUGGUGUAAUCUCAAAGUUAACGUUUAUUUCACGUCAGCAGAGGAUGCUUUUUCCUGUCAGAGACAUUCUGGAAUUGUACCGAUUGUACAUUCUUUUGUGCCUAUUCUGUUUGUCAAGUGAGUCAAGACUUGCUUUUGUCCAUUUUGAUGUACGUGUGUUAGUCGGAGUCUUGGCUCCGUUUUGAGGCAUGAGCAAAGUUUCACUGGAUUAGAGGUUAACCUUUAGGGAAAUUCCUUUUCUUGGUAUGUGGCAAUGCUAAUAAAGCCACCUGAAGAUCUGGAAAAUUCCAGGAGCUUUUCACCUGAGCUUUUCUUCUGAGAAAUGCUGCAGUCAGAAGGGUGUGCUGGUAAAAUAUUUCGGUGGCAGCUGCCAUCGUGAUCAUUGCUUUCAUAGAACACACUCUGUGCCAUCAUGAUCCUUACCCUCAUAAAACAAACACACUUCGUCAGAGGCGUCGGGGUUGAAAAAGGAGCUGCUUCACUGGAGUUGAGGGCCUCGCUCCUGUUCUGACUUUGAGCCAGAACUUGUGGCUGGCCGUGGAAGCUGACUCCACUGUGGACACGGUGGCAGCAGGGAGCCCGGCUGGCCGUGGAAGCUCUGACUCCACUGUGGACAUGGUGGCAGCAGGGAGCCCCUAGAGGGAGGGUCACUGGGACCAGGCCUUCUGUCGUCAAGGGGAUUCUGGGACAGUCGCUCACCCUGUCCUGUGGUCCUGUGGUCCUGUUCACGGGGCUGGCCUUUCCCUCCUCCCCUGCCAGGCCUCUGACCAUGCCCCUUCCGUCUUCUCCACGGGGGACUGGUGAAGCCAGGCGUCUGGAAGACUUCCUGGCCUGGAAGCCCUGAGCUCAGCCUGUCUGUAGAAUCUCCCAGUUCCUUCACAGCUGCCGAGUCCUCUCGUGGGCGCGGUGGAAGUGGCUUUCCGGGCAGCCAGGGGUUCCCGGAUAGGACCGUCCCUCUGGGGAUGUGGCACCGAAGUGCCUGCUGGCUUCAUGUGGCCCUUUGCCCUUUCCCGGCCUGAGAGACGCUCAAAGGUGGGGAGCCAGGGGAGCCACCCCUCGGCUGGUCCCUCCACCUCUGGGACAGGUGGCAGCCGGGCAGGUGUGGGCAGGUGAGGGCCGCGGCUUCGCUCCUAAGCCCACCCUCCUGUUGCCUUCGAUUUUCGGCAAAGUCUGGGCAGGUGCCACCGGGAGGGAAUGGCGUCCGAGAUGCUGGGCGCGGCACUGUGCGGCCGAGGGGGCCUUGACAUCGCUGGCGGGGCCUGGGCACAGGGGCAGCCAUGGGGAGGCAGGGAUGCCAAGGCCUGGAGCCACCGUGGAAGGAACUGCUCGAGGUCUGCAGAGGUGCCACAGGGCCCAGAAUCUGACUUUACUUGACCUUUUCUAGACUCUCCCUGAUAGUUUUUGAUGAAGCAUGUUGGUAAAACCACUACCCUCAGAGAAAGCCAAAAAUACAGACGAGGCGGAGCUCGCCCCUCCAACCUGACUGUUACUCACCUGGACUCCACGACAUCUGUGGAAUUCGUAAGCUCUUUAAAAUCUGUAACUUGUCGUCUAUUUUUUCAUUCUAAAUAAAACUUCAAUUUGCACCUAA